rnacentral:lncRNA from 1 species
AAUAAAUAUAAUAGUCAAAAUAUGGGUACAUCAGUCAUCAUCGUUUAACAAUUUUAAAAGGAACAAUUUAACAGAACACAAAAACAUCUACUAUCUACGAACACAUUUAUUGAGUGUCUGACGUCAGAAAAUUUUAUACGUCACAUAAAUUUGUCGUUCAAUGUGCGUACAAACAAUUUUAAAAUUUUCAUGGGAAUGUUAGCAUACAGGGUUAAAAAAUCAAAAGUAUGUAAGAAUAAAUUUAAGAAAUAGACCGAGAUUUAAACUAGUCCAAAAGUUAUAUAUAGAAUUUAUAAGAAUCCAAAAAUAGUUAAUACCACUACGCGAUUGAAUGAUUUUGACGUUUGUGGUUCAACGUAUAUUGUAAUUCAUAAUAGAAAUAUAUCAUAAUGACAUAUAAUAGAACAAUAUCAUACUGACGGGAUCUUUUAAAGUACAGAGUCACGUUAUAAGAACAAAAGAAAUACAAAAAGUCGCAAAUACAAAACAAACCACAAAAAAAUGAAAGCCAAUACAAACACAUUGACGAGAUGUAUAAGUACCGAGCCACGUGAAACGGAUAUCACAUGAAACCAUUUAACAGUAAAAGUAAUAUUAAUAAUAGAACAAAGACAAAUGAAAGAACUAUAAAACACGUUGUUAAGAUGAUAAACAACAUCAGUACGAAGAAUCUAUACAUCAAGACCAUCGUGUAUUAUUUGAGAAGUUGAUACGGAAUAUCAAUAUAUGGUCCCAAUGGGGACUCUCCAACUUUUUUUGAAAAUAUAAAAGGUCUAGUAUCUGGUAAAAAAAUAGCUCCAUAAUUAUGGCUGGAGACUGGAAUGUGGUGCAAGACUUUGAUAAGGACACCUCAAAUUAUAGUGCUAAAAACAAUAUAAGAGCACAUGAUAACAUUUUAGAUAUGAUAGAGUCCCUGGACCUUGUUGAUAUAUGGCGAGCAUUAAAUCCAGAUACAAAAAGAUUUACAUGGCGUGGUCCUGGGCUUAAGCAAAGCCGUUUGGAUUACUUUUUGAUUUCAU